UACGUAGGUGGCGAGCGUUACUCGGAAUUACUAGGCGUAAAGCGCGUGUAGGCGGGAGCUUAAGUCUGCUGUUAAAUCUAAGGGCUCAACCCUUAAAUGCCGGCGGAUACUGGGUUUCUUGAAUUCGGUAGAGGUAACUGGAAUUCCAUGUGUAGCGGUGAAAUGCGUAGAUAUAUGGAAGAACGCCAAAGGCGAAAGCAGGUUACUGGGCCGCAAUUGACGCUGAGACGCGAAAGCUAGGGGAGCAAACAGG
rnacentral:rRNA from 1 species